GAACUUGUGGGGAGUGCCCAGUAUGCGGACCACUCAAUGAAGGAAGGAAGGAGCUUCCGUAGCCUGCAUAGUGACUGGGUGCGGACUGGACCGACAAGAGCGUAGACUUAUCUUCGAGAUAACGUCCGGACUGUCCUUGGGUCGACCUAGCCUGCUGUUCAGUGGGUCAGAGAUCGGAGAAUGAAUCCGACCACUCACCUUUAAUGCCGAGCUCAGGAAUGUGUAUAACUAUAAUCUAACCUCACCCCUCUUAUUAUGCCUUUGUGGUGUGGUACUUAGGCACAAAGAGAUUUUAGCUUUACCAGCUAUCAGUUGUUGCUGAGAACAAUACAAUUAUCAUCUAAGUUACAACAGGGCGAACUGCUGUUUCCGAUAACAGCUACUACGUUUGUUACUCAACAGAUGCAGGAAUAGAAUGACUUACUGCACAUUGGAAUACCUAAUACUCAAUUCAGUGUAAAUUCGGGCAAAUUUCUGCAUACUUCGACGUGGUUAACGAUGCGAUUGUAAGGUACUCGAGACCCUUCCCUGAACAAUGUGGGAGAGGCCAAACUAACAAUACACAACUCAGGGCUCAAUAAAGUGGCUGCAGACAGCUGUUUUUACAGUAAA